rnacentral:rRNA from 1 species
AAUCAACGCUGGCGGCGUGCCUCAGACAUGCAAGUCGAACGAUUAAAGCUCUCUUCGGAGAGUGUAUAGAGUGGCGCACGGGUGAGUAACACGUAAGUAAUCUACCUUCGAGUGGGGAAUAACGUCCGGAAACGGACGCUAAUACCGCAUAAUGCAGCGGCAUCGCAAGAUGACAGUUGUUAAAGAUUUAUCGCUUGAAGAGGAGCUUGCGGCAGAUUAGCUAGUUGGUAAGGUAACGGCUUACCAAGGCUACGAUCUGUAUCCGGUCUAAGAGGACGGUCGGACACACUGACACUGAAUAACGGGUCAGACUCCUACGGGAGGCAGCAGUCGGGAAUUUUGGGCAAUGGGCGAAAGCCUGACCCAGCAACGCCGCGUGAGGGAUGAAGGCCUUCGGGU